rnacentral:piRNA from 1 species
UAUUUCUGCACAUUCCUGUUG